AGGAUGAACGCUGGCGGCGUGCCUAAUACAUGCAAGUCGAGCGGUAAGGCCCCUUCGGGGGUACACGAGCGGCGGACGGCUGAGUAACACGUAGGAACGUACCCCAAACUGAGGGAUAAGCACCAGAAAUGGUGUCUAAUACCGCAUGUGGUCUUCGGAUUAAAGCUUCGGCGGUUUGGGAACGGCCUGCGCAUGAUUAGCUUGUUGGUGAGGUAAAAGCUUACCAAGGCGACGAUCAUUAGCUGGUCUGAGAGGAUGAUCAGCCAGACUGGGACUGAGAACGGCCCAGACUCCUACGGGAGGCAGCAGUAGGGAAUUUUCCACAAUGGGCGAAAGCCUGAUGGAGCAACGCCGCGUGCAGGACGAAGGCCUUCGGGUUGUAAACUGCUUUUAUAUGUGAAGAUUAUGACGGUAGCAUAUGAAUAAGGAUCGGCUAACUCGUAGCCAGCACGCGC
rnacentral:rRNA from 1 species